rnacentral:rRNA from 1 species
GACAGAGGGUGCAAACGUUGUUCGGAAUCACUGGGCGUAAAGCGCACGUAGGCGGAUCUUUAAGUCAGAGGUGAAAUCCCAAGGCUCAACCUUGGAACUGCCUUUGAUACUGGGGAUCUUGAGUCCGGGAGAGGUGAGUGGAACUGCGAGUGUAGAGGUGAAAUUCGUAGAUAUUCGCAAGAACACCAGUGGCGAAGGCGGCUCACUGGCCCGGUACUGACGCUGAGGUGCGAAAGCGUGGGGAGCAAACAGG